CGGUCUGCUACCUCUUACCCAUGUCUUUUGAGUACCUUCGUUUCCUCGGCGGGUCCGCCCGCCGAUUGGACAACAUUCAAACCCUUUGCAGUUGCAAUCAGCGUCUGAAAAAACAUAAUAGUUACAACUUUCAACAACGGAUCUCUUGGUUCUGGCAUCGAUGAAGAACGCAGCGAAAUGCGAUAAGUAGUGUGAAUUGCAGAAUUCAGUGAAUCAUCGAAUCUUUGAACGCACAUUGCGCCCCUUGGUAUUCCAUGGGGCAUGCCUGUUCGAGCGUCAUUUGUACCUUCAAGCUCUGCUUGGUGUUGGGUGUUUGUCUCGCCUCUGCGUGUAGACUCGCCUUAAAACAAUUGGCAGCCGGCGUAUUGAUUUCGGAGCGCAGUACAUCUCGCGCUUUGCACUCAUAACGACGACGUCCAAAAGUACAUUUUUACACUCUUGACCUCGGAUCAGGUAGGGAUACCCGCUGAACUUAAGCAUAUCAAUAAGUCGGAGGAA
rnacentral:rRNA from 1 species